AGAUCCCUUCUGCUGGAUGGCAAUCUUAAAGGAUGCUGAUGGGAAAUCCCAGGAAGCUGGUCUCUGAUCUGAGUCGCACCGCUGGUGCAGGGAAGUGCUCUGUCACAUGCAGGCAUGGCACGGGGUGUUCCCUGCAGCUUGGCACGUACCGAAGUCAAUAGCCCUCAGCAGGAACUUGCAUUCAGUAUUAUGCUGUCUAAGAGGCUUAAAAUUGACUAUGAAGUUUCAGUAGACCUACAAAAAACCUGUUUUCAGUUUGUCAACUGGUAGCUUGCUCCAGAUGGAGACAGUGCAAUCUGGUGGUUGAUUCUUGGAAUCUGACUAGUGCAUCUGUGCUGGCAUAUUUAGAAUCAUGUUGUGUAAUAUGAAAAGCAGUCGUUCAUUUCAUUCAUUUGAAGUUGUCUUGCGGAAAUGGCAGCUGCCCAGACAAAUGCCACAUGAAGAUGAAAAUGUGACAGAGAGCCCAGGACUGUGCAGCAGAAAUAAUGGUGCAGUUUUGCAUCCACCAGGAAGCCACUGUGAUCCAUCUCGGUCUCCGUAGCUUAUUGCAGAUUCUUAUACCAGCUCCUGAUAGACACCAGUUGCUGUAGCCAAAACCAGCACUCCAAUUGGCCAAAGGAGGAGUAGCAUGCUUGCACAAACCUGCUGGAAAACUACCUAACUGUUGCUAGUCUUAGAAGCAGGUUAAGGUUUAAAGCUGCAAAUGCUGUUGGAGGAGGACUUGGCAUAACAGUCUACAGGAGCCACCAGCCCAGGAGCUGCAGUGGCUGCAAGGGUCUCCUCUGGCCAGUAUUGUGUAUCUCUUCUUCGACUUGGCUGGAGCGUAAAUGAGUUUCCUGAGCUCAGUGGGGCUUAAGGGCAAGCUUGGAGGAACAAGCAUGAUGAUAAAGACAGCUGGAGUCAUGGCUGAGGCCGAUAGCAGGCAAAGCUCACAGUUACCUCAAAAGUCCCAACUGAGUCUUCCAGGAGCAUGCAGGGGGCCCGCAUCAGUGUGUGGCUGUACAGCUCUGCCCAGGUCUUCAGUGCUCCAUCUCCUUCACCACCAGCCUCCCAUGCUGUGCAUGAGUGCUCUUCAGAACAGGUCCCGUGUCUUCUCUUUCUUAGCCCUACACAAGGCUCUCCUAUUUCCACAGCAGAGCUGUGCAGUGAGACUCACACUGGCAGGGACAGUUGAUCAGGCUCUGCCCACAUGGCCCUGAGAAGGCAAGAACCAUCGCUGGUGUGAAGAGGUACAGGAGAGUGGGGAAAAGGCUGACAAUGAUCUCUCAGCUGUAGAGCCCAGAGAGCAAGCAAUGCUCCUCCAGAUGGAUGAAGAGCUGCUCCAACAGCCAAAACCAUCUCUGUGGGGCUGGGGGAUCCUGGGCUGUGAACAGUGCAAUGGCAGAAGGCAGUGCUUGGUGGGUGCCUGUCCUACACAUACCACAGCAAGCACUUGAAGUCUGUGACAGCAAAAGUUGGAUAUGAUUAGAGGUGGCUGUAAACUGGUUUAUGUACUCUGCAAAAACAAAACAAAACUCACCAAAUAUAAAUGGUCAAAUACUUCCUAGAAAACUGCCCAAAUGUUCCCCAAUGUAACUGUGCAGGUGUAGGCAGAGCUGUUGUGGCAAACAGCCCUGGGAGCUCCUGCAGUUCUGCUGUCUCUUUACACUCUGUCCCUCCUCACUACUGCUUAAGCAUCAUGUCUUGCUCUGUGACCAGCUCCAGAGGACAGGACUCAGGAGUGUGCUGGCUGAGACAUUCCUCGCUCAGUACAGGUGGGUGCACAGAGCCAGCUCCAUUGCCUGUGGCAAACGUAGGCAAUGUGGGCCUGUGACUUGGGACCUCCCCAUUCCCUCUGGGGAGCAGGAGCAGAACAGCAUUGUCCCUCCUGCUCAGUGUCCUCUGGAGGCCUGGAGCAUGUGCCUCAGACAGGACCCUGUGUUCCAGACUCACCAGGCUGAGCAGGACCCCAUGUAUCUCCGAUGUGGGAGCAGCUGACUUCCAGCUGGGUCCAUAGUGCUGCGCAUCCCUUAGACUCCCCUACCACGUCCGAGUCCCCUCAGGAGCUUCCUGGGCAGCCCCAAAGGUCCCAGGGACCCUUUGCACUCCACACUGCCAGGCACCAGUGCCCUGUGCUGGCACCACCAUAGAGGUGCCCCCUGACUCGCAGGGGUACAAGUGCCCUCGACCUGGUGAGAACAAAGCGCAGGUUGUUGCACUGAUGUUGGCUGCUGACACAGCAGCAAACUGUGCUGGACACUCUGGCACCUCAUCACAGAGGGGACUGGGACACAGGCUUCUGCUGCUGUCACUGCCAGCUAAGAGCGAGUGUUGUUCAGAAUGGGCUAGUCUAUGAAGGCUCACCUGCAUCCCGGCACUGCGUGCAGAGGGACGGUUACUGACUCACCACUGUGAAUUUUUAAGCAAGGCUUUUUGGACACAGCUCUUUAAAAAAGGAGAACAGACUGGCACAGACAGGGCAGGAUCAGCCCCUGCAAAGGAGCCUUGAGCAGUGAAGGGAAGAAAACUCUGCUAUCAGCUGAAGUCUGUCUAGUGCACUGUCUCAUCUCUGCCACUGUCUCAUCUCUGCCAGUAGCCAAGAACUGCUCUCUCAGUCAGUGUAAAAAGAAGAUGCACAUACCAUGGUGCUGCUCAAACUCCUCUGCCAGACUCCAGGGAUCCACAGCUCAGGCUUCAGAAGCAAGUGGGGUCUUGGGUUUAGUCAAGACUCUUGACCAUGCUACUCGUAAUUUAUGCCUGUUGAUGGUCCUCCCCAGCCAAACAGAGUGUGCUGCAGACGGUGCUCAGUGGGUUGAGACUAGAGCCACCAGCGUCCUGCCAACACCCCGAACUGGGAAUCACCACUGGGACCGCAAGGAAUAACCUUUAAGGCUCAUUAAAAUUCCACUAACGCAAA